GCGUGAAGAACGGAGUAAGGUCUUCCAGGAGCUGGGGAGGGAGACGGUGGCUCUGAACGGCUGAGGGACUCUUGCAGCAGUGGUGCUGUGGUUCAGGACCUUGAUCGCACGCAGAUCAUAUUGCCAAGCGACAGAAGAGCUGGAACAAGUGCCUGGCUGCUGUGGUCUUUGCAAAAAGAAAGCUACUUUUAUACCUUUAUUUCCGGAAGAUACAGGCCUAUAGUGCUUUGGAGGUUCUCGAGCUGAAAUGCUAUGACAGCUAGAUCUCAGACACACAUUUUGGAUCGAGAAGAGGAAGCCAAUACUGAAAAUGGUGGAACCGAAAGACAGAAAAAAAAGAGAUUGCCUGCAUAUCUAUGAACAAUUAAUUUAUGACAGAGAAACCAAGGACAUCUAAUGGGUAAAGGACAGUCUCUUCAAAAAAUAGUUCUAGAAAAACUGGAUAGCCACAUGCCAAAGAAUGAAACUAGGCCGUUAUU